GACGAACGCUGGCGGCGUGCUUAACACAUGCAAGUCGAACGGAAAGGCCCUGCUUUUGUGGGGUGCUCGAGUGGCGAACGGGUGAGUAACACGUGAGUAACCUGCCCUUGACUUUGGGAUAACUUCAGGGAACUGGGGCUAAUACCGGAUAGGAGCUCCUGCUGCAUGGUGGGGGUUGGAAAGUUUCGGCGGUUGGGGAUGGACUCGCGGCUUAUCAGCUUGUUGGUGGGGUAGUGGCUUACCAAGGCUUUGACGGGUAGCCGGCCUGAGAGGGUGACCGGCCACAUUGGGACUGAGAUACGGCCCAGACUCCUACGGGAGGCAGCAGUGGGGAAUAUUGCACAGUGGGCGGAAGCCUGAUGCAGCAACGCCGCGUGCGGGAUGACGGCCUUCGGGUUGUAAACCGCUUUCGCCUGUGACGAAGCGUGAGUGACGGUAAUGGGUAAAGAAGCACCGGCUAACUACGUGCCAGCAGCCGCGGUGAUACGUAGGGUGCGAGCGUUGUCCGGAUUUAUUGGGCGUAAAGGGCUCGUAGGUGGUUGAUCGCGUCGGAAGUGUAAUCUUGGGGCUUAACCCUGAGCGUGCUUUCGAUACGGGUUGACUUGAGGAAGGUAGGGGAGAAUGGAAUUCCUGGUGGAGCGGUGGAAUGCGCAGAUAUCAGGAGGAACACCAGUGGCGAAGGCGGUUCUCUGGGCCUUUCCUGACGCUGAGGAGCGAAAGCGUGGGGAGCGAACAGGCUUAGAUACCCUGGUAGUCCACGCUGUAAACGGUGGGUACUAGGUGUGGGGUCCAUUCCACGGGUUCCGUGCCGUAGCUAACGCUUUAAGUACCCCGCCUGGGGAGUACGGCCGCAAGGCUAAAACUCAAAGGAAUUGACGGGGCCCCGCACAAGCGGCGGAGCAUGCGGAUUAAUUCGAUGCAACGCGUAGAACCUUACCUGGGUUUGACAUGGAUCGGGAGUGCUCAGAGAUGGGUGUGCCUCUUUUGGGGUCGGUUCACAGGUGGUGCAUGGCUGUCGUCAGCUCGUGUCGUGAGAUGUUGGGUUAAGUCCCGCAACGAGCGCAACCCUUGUUCACUGUUGCCAGCACGUUAUGGUGGGGACUCAGUGGAGACCGCCGGGGUCAACUCGGAGGAAGGUGGGGAUGACGUCAAGUCAUCAUGCCCCUUAUGUCCAGGGCUUCACGCAUGCUACAAUGGCUGGUACUGAGAGUGGCGAGCCUGUGAGGGUGAGCGAAUCUCGGAAAGCCGGUCUCAGUUCGGAUUGGGGUCUGCAACUCGACCUCAUGAAGUCGGAGUCGCUAGUAAUCGCAGAUCAGCAACGCUGCGGUGAAUACGUUCCCGGG
rnacentral:rRNA from 1 species